rnacentral:miRNA from 1 species
GGGAGAGAACACCGUCUGAGUGG